rnacentral:rRNA from 1 species
ACUGCUCAGUAACACGUAGUCAAUCUGCCCUUAGGACAGGGAUAUCCACGGGAAACUGUGGCUAAUACCUGGCAGAGGUUUAUUGUUGGAACACAUUUACCUCGAAAGGCAACGCCUAAGGAUGAGACUGCGGUCGAUUAGCUAGUUGGUGGGGUAACUGCCUACCAAGGCGAUGAUCGAUAGGGGCUCUUAGCGGAGUCGCCCCGAGAAGGAAUCUGAGACACUAUUCCUAGCUCUACGGAGUGCAGCAGUCGCGAAUCUUUUGCAAUGCACGAAAGUGUGACAAAGCGAACCAAAGUGCAUUUCUUUUUGAAAUGCUUUUCUUCACCGCAAAAACGUGGAGGAAUAAGGACUGGGCAAGACCGGUGCCAGCCGCCGCGGUAAUCCCGGCGGUCCAAGUUGCAUCCCAUUAUUGGGUCUAAAACAUCCGUAGCUCGUUUGUUAAGUCUCUUGUGAAAUCCCGUGUCUCAAGCGCGGGGCGAGCGGGAGAUACUGGCAAACUAGGGAUCGGUAGACGUAAGGAGUACGCUGGAGGUAGUGGUUAAAUACGUUAAUCUUCGGUGGACUAACAAUUUAGCGAAGGCACCUUACGAGGACGAAUCUGACAGUGAGGGAUGAAGGCUAGGGGCGCAAAACGGAUUAGAUACCCGUGUAGUCCUAGCAGUAAACACUGCUCACUAAACAUCGGGCCCUCUUCGGGAGGAUCCGGUGCUGAAGCGAAGGCGAAGAGUGAGCUACCUGGGAAGUAUAGUCGCAAGAUCGAAACUUAAAGGAAUUGGCGGGGGAGCAC